GGGGCUUUAGCUCAGCUGGCUAGAGCGCCUCGCUUGCACCGAGGAGGUCAGGGGUUCGAAUCCCCUAAGCUCCA
rnacentral:tRNA from 2 species